ACCUGGGUAGUUUAACUAAAACGUUAAUUUGUGGGAUUAGAGUUAUACUCUCUGAGUAUCUGAGGUA
rnacentral:tRNA from 1 species